AACGCGAAGAACCUUACCAAGGUUUGACAUGGCCGGAAAAGCCGCAGAGAUGUGGUGUCCUUCGGGGUCGGUCACAGGUGGUGCAUGGCUGUCGUCAGCUCGUGUCGUGAGAUGUUGGGUUAAGUCCCGCAACGAGCGCAACCCUCGUCCUAUGUUGCCAGCGGGUCAUGCCGGGGACUCAUGGGAGACUGCCGGGGUCAACUCGGAGGAAGGUGGGGAUGACGUCAAGUCAUCAUGCCCCUUAUGUCUUGGGCUGCAAACAUGCUACAAUGGCCGGUACAAAGGGCUGCGAGCUCGCGAGGGUAAGCGAAUCCCAUAAAGCCGGUCUCAGUUCGGAUCGGGGUCUGCAACUCGGCCCCGUGAAGUCGGAAUUGCUAGUAAUGGCGUGUCAGCAAUAACGCCGUGAAUACGUUCCCGGGCCUUGUACACACCGAGUAUA
rnacentral:rRNA from 1 species